UGGCUCAGAUUGAACGCUGGCGGCAGGCCUAACACAUGCAAGUCGAGCGGAUGAAAGGAGCUUGCUCCUGGAUUCAGCGGCGGACGGGUGAGUAAUGCCUAGGAAUCUGCCUGGUAGUGGGGGACAACGUUUCGAAAGGAACGCUAAUACCGCAUACGUCCUACGGGAGAAAGCAGGGGACCUUCGGGCCUUGCGCUAUCAGAUGAGCCUAGGUCGGAUUAGCUAGUUGGUGAGGUAAUGGCUCACCAAGGCGACGAUCCGUAACUGGUCUGAGAGGAUGAUCAGUCACACUGGAACUGAGACACGGUCCAGACUCCUACGGGAGGCAGCAGUGGGGAAUAUUGGACAAUGGGCGAAAGCCUGAUCCAGCCAUGCCGCGUGUGUGAAGAAGGUCUUCGGAUUGUAAAGCACUUUAAGUUGGGAGGAAGGGUUGUAGAUUAAUACUCUGCAAUUUUGACGUUACCGACAGAAUAAGCACCGGCUAACUCUGUGCCAGCAGCCGCGGUAAUACAGAGGGUGCAAGCGUUAAUCGGAAUUACUGGGCGUAAAGCGCGCGUAGGUGGUUUGUUAAGUUGGAUGUGAAAUCCCCGGGCUCAACCUGGGAACUGCAUCCAAAACUGGCAAGCUAGAGUAUGGUAGAGGGUGGUGGAAUUUCCUGUGUAGCGGUGAAAUGCGUAGAUAUAGGAAGGAACACCAGUGGCGAAGGCGACCACCUGGACUGAUACUG
rnacentral:rRNA from 1 species